GACGAACGCUGGCGGCGUGCCUAAUACAUGCAAGUAGAACGCACAGUUUAUACCGUAGCUUGCUACACCAUAGACUGUGAGUUGCGAACGGGUGAGUAACGCGUAGGUAACCUUCCUGGUAGCGGGGGAUAACUAUUGGAAACGAUAGCUAAUACCGCAUCAUAUUGAUUAUUCCAUGAUAAUUGAUUGAAAGAUGCUAUUACAUCACUACCAGAUGGACCUGCGUUGUAUUAGCUAGUAGGUGAGGUAACGGCUCACCUAGGCGACGAUACAUAGCCGACCUGAGAGGGUGAUCGGCCACACUGGGACUGAGACACGGCCCAGACUCCUACGGGAGGCAGACGUAGGGAAUCUUUGGCAAUGGAGAAAAGUCUGACCGAGCAACGCCGGGUGAGUGAAGAAGGUUUUCGGAUCGUAAAGCUCUGUUGUAAGAGAAGAACGGGUGUGAGAGUGGAAAGUUCACACUGUGACGGUAUCUUACCAGAAAGGGACGGCUAACUACGUG
rnacentral:rRNA from 1 species